rnacentral:rRNA from 1 species
ACGCACGCUGGCGGCGUGCUUCACACAUGCAAGUCGAACGGAAAGGCCCUGCUUUUGUGGGGUGCUCGAGUGGCGAACGGGUGAGUAACACGUGAGUAACCUGCCCUUGACUUUGGGAUAACUUCAGGAAACUGGGGCUAAUACCGGAUAGGAGCUCCUGCUGCAUGGUGGGGGUUGGAAAGUUUCGGCGGUUGGGGAUGGACUCGCGGCUUAUCAGCUUGUUGGUGGGGUAGUGGCUUACCAAGGCUUUGACGGGUAGCCGGCCUGAGAGGGUGACCGGCCACAUUGGGACUGAGAUACGGCCCAGACGCCUAAGGGAGGCAGCAGUGGGGAAUAUUGCACAAUGGACGGAAGACUGAUGCAGCAACGCCGCGUGCGGGAUGACGGCCUUCGGGUUGUAAACCGCUUUCGCCUGUGACGAAGCGUGAGUGACGGUAAUGUGUAAAGAAGCACCGGCUAACUACGUG